GAACGUACGCUGGCGGCACGCCUAACACAUGCAAGUCGAACGAAGUAGCAAUACUUAGUGGCAGACGGGUGAGUAACAUGUAGGUAUCUGCCCUUUGGCCUGGAAUAACACGAGGAAACUUGUGCUAAUACCGGAUAAGUCUUUACGGAGAAAGCUUUAUGCACCAUUGGAUGAGCCUGCACUUGAUUAGUUUGUUGGUGGGGUAAUGGCCUACCAAGACUGUGAUCAAUAGCUGAUUUGAGAGGAUGAUCAGCCACAUUGGGACUGAGACACGGCCCAAACUCCUACGGGGGGCAGCAGUGGGGAAUCUUGCACAAUGGAGGAAACUCUGAUGCAGCGAUGCCGCGUGAGUGAAGAAGGCCCUUGGGUUGUAAAGCUCUUUCGUCGGGGAAGAAAAUGACUGUACCCGAAUAAGAAGGUCCGGCUAACUUCGUGCCAGCAGCCGCGGUAAUACGAAGGGACCUAGCGUAGUUCGGAAUUACUGGGCUUAAAGAGUUCGUAGGUGGUUGAAAAAGUUAGUGGUGAAAUCCCAGAGCUUAACUCUGGAACUGCCAUUAAAACUUUUUAGCUAGAGUAUGAUAGAGGAAAGCAGAAUUUCUAGUGUAGAGGUGAAAUUCGUAGAUAUUAGAAAGAAUACCAAUUGCGAAAGGCAGCUUUCUGGAUCAUUACUGACACUGAGGAACGAAAGCAUGGGUAGCGAAGAGGAUUAGAUACCCUCGUAGUCCAUGCCGUAAACGAUGUGUGUUAGACGUUGGAAAUUUAUUUUCAGUGUCGCAGGGAAACCGAUAAACACACCGCCUGGGGAGUACGACCGCAAGGUUAAAACUCAAAUGAAUUGACGGGGACCCGCACAAGUAGUGGAGCAUGUGGUUUAAUUCGAAGAUACGCGCAGAACCUUACCAACACUUGACAUGUUCGUCGCGACUCUAAGAGAUUAGAGUUUUCGGUUCGGCCGGACGAAACACAGGUGCUGCAUGGCUGUCGUCAGCUCGUGUCGUGAGAUGUUGGGUUAAGUCCCGCAACGAGCGCAACCCUCACUUUUAGUUGCCAUCAUUAAGUUGGGCACUCUGAAAGAACUGCCAGUGAUAAGCUGGAGGAAGGUGGGGAUGACGUCAAGUCCUCAUGGCCCUUACGUGUUGGGCUACACACGUGCUACAAUGGUAUCUACAACAGGAAGCAAGACUGCGAAGUUAAGCAAAUCCCUAAAAGAUACCUCAGUUCGGAUUGCACUCUGCAACUCGAGUGCAUGAAGCUGGAAUUACUAGUAAUCGUGGAUCAGCGUGCCACGGUGAAUGCGUUCCCGGGUCUUGUACUCACCGCC
rnacentral:rRNA from 1 species